AGGGUGUAAACGCUGCAGACUUGGUGUUGGAAAUCCUUCGAGGGUAUUCAGUGCCGGAGAGAAGUUGUUAAGUCUGCUACUUGGGGAGUACGUCCGCAAGGAUGAAACUUAAGGGAAUUGGCGGGGGAGCACCGCAACGGGAGGAGCGUGCGGUUUAAUUGGAUUCAACACCGGAAAACUCACCAGGGGAGACUGUUACAUGAAACCCAGACUAAUGAUCUUGGUUGAUUUUUCAGAGAGGAGGUGCAUGGCGUGUGACUGU
rnacentral:rRNA from 1 species